CCUACGGGUGGCAGCAGUGGGGAAUAUUGCACAAUGGGGGAAACCCUGAUGCAGCGACGCCGCGUGAGUGAAGAAGGAAUUCGGUACGUAAAGCUCUAUCAGCAGGGAAGAAACACUGACCUUACGGACAGCAGACGGUAACGGAGGAAGAAGCCCCGGCGAACAACGUGCCAGCAGCCGCGGUCAUACGUAGGGGGCAAGCGUUAUCCGGAUUUACUGGGUGUAAAGGGAGCGUCGACGGUGAGCCAAGGGUGGAGGGAAAGGCCGCCGCGUAACUGCGGAACUGCUUGGGAAACUGGCGAACUAGCUUGCGGUAGGUGUAAGCUGACUUCCUCGUGUAGCGGUGACAUGCGUAGAUAUUAGGCGG
rnacentral:rRNA from 1 species